GAGCGUCACUCUCCCGCCCGUUUCCUCCGCUGGUGCAACACCUGAUUCAAAUGAUCAGAUCAUCAAAGUCGUUGAAAGCCGACAGCAAAUAUGAUCAUUUGUCUCGGUGUGCGAGAGAGCAAGAAAGGAGCCCCGCCACCGUUUGAUUUUAGCCACAGCCAUCUCAACCAGCUCUCUGGAGCUGGUUGAGGAGGAGGUCCUGUGGUUAAACUAAACUUUUUUUCAAAUUUCUGGAUUUGACACCUGUGCUCAAUUAGAGUUGGCUUCACUUGUGAAGAGAGCAGAGCUGGACGCUUCUUCGACAGCACGGUGGGCUGAAAGACACGGUAACGUUAACCCUCGACUUUUAAAUAUUCAAACCUUGCAAGCGUGCGGCUGGGCACCCCGAUAUUUGGAAGAUCCAAACGCCACAGGAUGGCAGCCAUUUUAAGAGUCAUUCUGUCGAGGUGAGCCUGCGUAGACAGAAGUGAGAACAGACACAUUUGGGAUUUAGUCUGAUAUGUAUUCAAAAGUGGCAGUUUUACCUUGUUGCAGUCGAUUUGGCCAUUCUGUAGACGAUGCAAAGC